rnacentral:tRNA from 1 species
AAAAAGGUAAGCUAAAAAAGCUAAUGGGUUCAUACCUCAUUUAUGAAGGUUUAAAAUCCUUUCCUCUUUA